AUCUUGCAGACUUCCACUGUGUGUCCCUCUGUACAGCUUUGCAGGCUCCGGCCUCGGCAGCGGGGGGUUCAUAGUGGUCGUCGACCUCCACGAAACUGCACGCUCCGGCGUGACAGCGUACUGGGGAUGCCUGUGUAGAUGCAGUCCGGGCUUGCCUGGACCGCUAGCAGAUGGGCUCUGUGGAUGACUGGCCGCUGGCUAGACCUGAAACCUGAGCAACGGGAGGUAACCUCUCGCCGCGGACACCGGAAUGGUAGAAGCGGCGUGCUGCGUCCUCCUCUUGGGGCCCCUAAGCCACACCUCCCAUAGCGGGUUCGGUGCGGCGGACGGACGCCCUGGGGAAUUUAGAGGGGGAAAGCGGAUUGCCCUAGCGGUGUUGUUGGCCCUGCCGACCUCACUGCGAAAGGCGCGA
rnacentral:misc_RNA from 1 species